rnacentral:rRNA from 1 species
CAGUCGAGCGAACAGAUAAGGAGCUUGCUCCUUUGACGUUAGCGGCGGACGGGUGAGUAACACGUGGAUAACCUACCUAUAAGACUGGGAUAACUUCGGGAAACCGGAGCUAAUACCGGAUAAGAUUUUGAACCGCAUGGUUCAAUAGUGAAAGACGGCCUUGCUGUCACUUAUAGAUGGAUCCGCGCCGUAUUAGCUAGUUGGUAAGGUAACGGCUUACCAAGGCAACGAUACGUAGCCGACCUGAGAGGGUGAUCGGCCACACUGGAACUGAGACACGGUCCAGACUCCUACGGGAGGCAGCAGUAGGGAAUCUUCCGCAAUGGGCGAAAGCCUGACGGAGCAACGCCGCGUGAGUGAUGAAGGUCUUCGGAUCGUAAAACUCUGUUAUCAGGGAAGAACAAACGUGUAAGUAACUGUGCACGUCUUGACGGUACCUGAUCAGAAAGCCACGGCUAACUACGUGCCAGCAGCCGCGGUAAUACGUAGGUGGCAAGCGUUAUCCGGAAUUAUUGGGCGUAAAGCGCGCGUAGGCGGUUUUUUAAGUCUGAUGUGAAAGCCCACGGCUCAACCGUGGAGGGUCAUUGGAAACUGGAAAACUUGAGUGCAGAAGAGGAAAGUGGAAUUCCAUGUGUAGCGGUGAAAUGCGCAGAGAUAUGGAGGAGCACCAGGUGGCGAAGGCGACUUUCUGGUCUGUAACUGACGCUGAUGUGCGAAAGCGUGGGGAUCAAACAGGAUUAGAUACCCUGG